GAGCUGAUUUGUAACUGUGAGGAGCUGAUCUGUUCAAUUUGCAAAGGUUACUGAUUCAGAGAAUUCUCAGUGACUGAUCUGCUAUGCUCCAGAUUCAUGAGGCCCAUUCCAGAGCUAGUUGGAUAAGUUGGUAUCAAUAGAAGAAAACCUCUAAGAUGGAAUAUUAUGUUGUAGGUGGUAGGUGAAAUAAUAAAGUAUUAUGUCCAAUUUUGAGAAAAAGGUGAAAGUUACCUUGUUAGAGUUUUUCUAUGAAAUGUAUCAAACUUGCACCAGGCUAUUCAAUCUGAUUCUUUAUUGUGCCCAACUCAAACUCUGUUUAGUUGAUGCAGAGUUAAGGACCAAUUACUCUUUUCAGUAUUUUUAAGAAAAAUCAGAGAGAAUCAAACACUAACUAUACAAACGAGAAAAAUAAGAGAGAAACAAACACUAACAAUUACUCUUUUGGACAAAUAAGUUUAACCCCUGCUCCUCAAUUCACUAUACCAAAUACUUCACAAAUCACUCCUCUCAAGGUUAAUCUUGCUGACAAAUAUCGCUAUGUAAGGUUCUCAUGCACAUGCCUCCACAACAACAUAGUACUCGAUCACCCCCUGCAGUUGUGUAACUUUUGUUCUCUUCUUUUACUCUCCGAAAGCAAUAGAUAAGAAAAUGAAGACAAAAUUGUGGUUGAUAGAAAUUUUUAAGAAAAUAUUCCUUGAAAGGCAAACUAGUACUUGUCAGUAUUCAUAAAACACAUUUGCAAUUCGGCCAUUCCCAUGAAAACAAAGAAUCCAAUGCUACAAUUUUCUCACUCACUCAGUAAUGAUGCUACAAAAUAAUGGAGGAGAUGUAGAAGAAGCAAAGACAGAAUCUGUAAAGGUAGUGGAUGCUUUAGGUACCUAGACAUGAGACCUUCACGUAAUCACAUGAUUAGGUCAAUAAAUCACCAAAGGAUGUGCCAAUUGUUUUAACCUUAGUGAGAAUCUUAGGAUCGACCACUAUACUAUUAUUACCACCCUCUAGGUACUUUUCCCUAAUAUCAAUACACACAUUUAGAAAAACAAGACCCUAUGUACUUGUCUUCUUUUAUUUCCCAACUUUGUGUUUGCAUUGGUGGCCAAUUAAGUCUGCUACUUGAACCAUUAUAGCAUAGAAUUAUGAUGCACAUCGUCCUCAUCAACCUUCCUUCUAAUUACUAUUAGCCAAAACACACUGCACUAUCAAUGGCCUUAGAAGAACUACUACCACCAUAAAAAGAUAUUAGUUGAUACCUCUUUUUUUUAAGCAAGUGAUCAAAAUCAUAUUCCAAGUAGGAAUAAGAGGCCCGGUACGUUCAUGUGAUCUUUGGAGAGAAACACAAUCAUUCAUGCAAAAUGCAUGUAAGGCGAAAACUGAUGGCUCGUGUAUGUUUCUACUAAAACAUGAUAAUCUAGUCACCAUUUCUGACAAUGGAAAGCAGCUCAACAAGUCCUGAGACAUUUACAACCUAACGAUGAAAGUCAAUAUAUAUUGGGGCAUGGUAAUCAUGAUGCAUAGUUAUUUCACAAGCUUGAAUGAUUUUCAAACUGACUUUUCCUGUUUCAAACCAUUUACCUCUUGCAAUAUUGGUUUCAUUGCAAGUUAUUUAUAAUGUUAAUGACAACUCUAAAUUUGGAGCUUCAGAGCCCUAGACAAGGCAUCAAGAGACCUGUUUUUUAUGAUCCAAUUUUUUGGAUGUCAUAUCUCAUAUCUCAUAUCUUGUGCAUUAAAAUGAACAGUUAUGAUCCAGGUGUAACUCUUAAGCUGGCCAAGUUACACAUACCAAUGAAGGUUUUUAUGUGGCUGGCGGAGAGCAGUGUGUGGACGGGGUAUUUGUAAAAGACUCUUCGAUUUUAAGUUAGUGGAAGAACCAACAGAAUGAGACUAAGGUGAACAGUGAUAUGCUGUUGUUACUUUCUUUGUAUUUGCUGUCUAUCAUUAACCAAGACCUGGAUGCAGAUAUUACUUUUCACAGAGGCAUUUCUCUUGGUCAAUUCUCCAGUUUAUCUUGAACAAAACUUUCAUUCCUUGAACAUAUAUUACCAAAAUUGCAAUAUUUAACUAGUGCUCCUUUAUGUUGUUUGGUUAUUUCCUUUGACCUCACAAUGUCAUUGCAUUUGUAGCUGAAAAUAUUAUUCUUCCAGAUGUGCAUUUGUAAAUGACUUUUAUACUUAGGUAACAGUUUUCUCCACAAAUUAGAAUUGUGUGCACUGUUUUAUGCCUCUCACCUCAAAUUAUUAAAGAAUCCCCUAUCUUGGUCUGAUGUCCAUCCCUACAUUGAUUUUAGAGACACAUGUUCCCAGUUUUGAGAGAAGUUUCAGUUGAAAUUCCAAACUCUUAAUCUUGUCUUAAUCUAUGACUGUUUUAGUAGCUUUUGCAUUAUAAUGUUUUACCACUUUGAAAUACAGAAGGAUAUCACUUGCAUUUACCAUAUUCUGCUGAUGAUCUUUUUCAUUGAGGCUCUAAAUUGGAUGAGCUUAUAACCUCUAGUUUUUGUUUUCUGAAUUAGGUAUCAUCUGUUUAUGAUCAAUCUAGAAUGCAAGAAAUUUGAGGAAAUUCUAAUGAGCUGAUUUGUAACUGUGAGGAGCUGAUCUGUUCAAUUUGCAAAGGUUACUGAUUCAGAGAAUUCUCAGUGACUGAUCUGCUAUGCUCCAGAUUCAUGAGGCCCAUUCCAGAGCUAGUUGGAUAAGUUGGUAUCAAUAGAAGAAAACCUCUAAGAUGGAAUAUUAUGUUGUAGGUGGUAGGUGAAAUAAUAAAGUAUUAUGUCCAAUUUUGAGAAAAAGGUGAAAGUUACCUUGUUAGAGUUUUUCUAUGAAAUGUAUCAAACUUGCACCAGGCUAUUCAAUCUGAUUCUUUAUUGUGCC
rnacentral:lncRNA from 1 species